rfam:Nematostella vectensis strain CH2 x CH6 NEMVEscaffold_888_Cont33718, whole genome shotgun sequence.
GUCCCAAUGUGCCAAGAGGGAAAACAACCCUCAAUGCACUAAAGUAUAUGAAAGUUUAAAAUUUCUGGAGAUAAAUCCUUUGCAGACGACUUAAAUAAAGAACGGGGUAUUGUACGUUGUAGAGUAGCCUUGUUGCUACGAUCUUCUGAGAUUAAGCCUUUGUUCUACGAUUUGU